GCCGGGUGCAGUGGUGCACACCUGUAAUCCCAAUGGCUCUGGAGGCUAAGGCAAGAGGAUCACAAGUUCAAAGCCGGUCUCAGCAAUGGCAAGGUGCUAAGCAACUCAGUGAGACCUUGUCUCUA
rnacentral:sRNA from 1 species